AUUGAACGCUGGCGGCAUGCCUUACACAUGCAAGUCGAACGGCAGCGGACCUUCGGGUGCCGGCGAGUGGCGAACGGGUGAGUAAUAUAUCGGAACGUACCUUUCAGUGGGGGAUAACGUAGCGAAAGUUACGCUAAUACCGCAUAUUCUGUGAGCAGGAAAGCAGGGGAUCGCAAGACCUUGCGCUGAUUGAGCGGCCGAUAUCAGAUUAGCUAGUUGGUGUGGUAAAGGCUCACCAAGGCGACGAUCUGUAGCGGGUCUGUGAGGAUGAUCCGCCACACUGGAACUGAGACACGGUCCAGACUCCUACGGGAGGCAGCAGUGGGGAAUUUUGGACAAUGGGCGCAAGCCUGAUCCAGCCAUGCCGCGUGAGUGAAGAAGGCCUCGGUUGUAAG
rnacentral:rRNA from 1 species